rnacentral:rRNA from 1 species
GAUGAACGCUGGCGGCGUGCCUAAUACAUGCAAGUCGAGCGAACAGACGAGGAGCUUGCUCCUCUGACGUUAGCGGCGGACGGGCGAGUAACACGUGGAUAACCUACCUAUAAGACUGGGAUAACUUCGGGAAACCGGAGCUAAUACCGGAUAAUAUAUUGAACCGCAUGGUUCAAUAGUCAAAGACGGUUUUGCUGUCACUUAUAGAUGGAUCCGCGCCGCAUUAGCUAGUUGGUAAGGUAACGGCUUACCAAGGCAACGAUGCGUAGCCGACCUGAGAGGGUGAUCGGCCACACUGGAACUGAGACACGGUCCAGACUCCUACGGGAGGCAGCAGUAGGGAAUCUUCCGCAAUGGGCGAAAGCUUGACGGAGCAACGCCGCGUGAGUGAUGAAGGUCUUCGGAUCGUAAAACUCUGUUAUUAGGGAAGAACAAAUGUGUAAGUAACUAUGCACGUCUUGACGGUACCUAAUCAGAAAGCCACGGCUAACUACGUG